UACAGAGGUGGCAAGCGUUGUUCGGAAUUACUGGGCGUAAAGGGCGCGUAGGCGGUCCUCUAAGUCUUGCGUGAAAUCCCUCGGCUCAACUGAGGAACUGCACGGGAUACUGGAAGACUUGAGUUCGGGAGAGGGAAGCGGAAUUCCGGGUGUAGCGGUGAAAUGCGUAGAUAUCCGGAGGAACACCGGUGGCGAAGGCGGCUUCCUGGACCGAUUACUGACGCUGAGGCGCGAAAGCUAGGGGAGCAAACGGG
rnacentral:rRNA from 1 species